GACGUGGGGGGCGAGCGUUGUCCGGAAUUACUGGGCGUAAAGGGCGUGUAGGCGGCCUGCCAAGUCAGCUGUGAAAUUCCUCGGCUCAACCGGGGGUCUGCAGUUGAAACUGAAAGACUUGAGUAUUGGAGAGGCAAGUGGAAUUCCUAGUGUAGCGGUGAAAUGCGUAGAUAUUAGGAGGAACACCGGUGGCGAAGGCGACCUUCUGGCCUGUUACUGACGCUGAGGCGCGAAAGCUAGGGGAGCAAAC
rnacentral:rRNA from 1 species